CCUACGGGUGGCAGCAGUGGGGAAUAUUGGGCAAUGGGCGAAAGCCUGACCCAGCAACGCCGCGUGAAGGAAGACGGCUCUCGGGUUGUAAACUUCUUUUGACAGGGAAGAGCAGAAGACGGUACCUGUCGUAUUAGCCACGGCUAACUACGUGCCAGCAGCCGCGGUAAUACGGAGGUGGCAGGCGUUGUCCGGAUUUACUGGGUGUAACGGGCGUGUAGCCGGGCUGACAAGGCAGAUGUGAAAUCCUGGGGCUCAACCGCCGAACUGCAUUUGAAACUGGUUGUCUUGAGUAUAGGAGAGGCAGGCGGAAUUCCUGGUGUAGCGGUGAAAUGCGUAGAUAUCAGGAGGAACACCGAUGGCGAAGGCGGCCUGCUAGACUGCAACUGACGUUGAGGCCCGAAAGCGUGGGGAGCAAACAGGAUUAGAUACCCCAGUAGUC
rnacentral:rRNA from 1 species